rnacentral:rRNA from 1 species
AACGCGAAGAACCUUACCUGGGCUUGACAUGCUGGUGUAAGCCGGUGGAAACAUCGGCCCCUCUUCGGAGCGCCAGCACAGGUGCUGCAUGGCUGUCGUCAGCUCGUGUCGUGAGAUGUUGGGUUAAGUCCCGCAACGAGCGCAACUCUCGCUCCCAGUUGCCAGCGGUUCGGCCGGGGACUCUGGGGGGACUGCCGGCGUUAAGCCGGAGGAAGGUGGGGACGACGUCAAGUCAUCAUGGCCCUUACGUCCAGGGCGACACACGUGCUACAAUGCCUGGUACAGCGCGUCGCCAACUCGCAAGAGGGAGCCAAUCGCCAAAAAGCCGGGCUAAGUUCGGAUUGUCGUCUGCAACUCGACGGCAUGAAGCCGGAAUCGCUAGUAAUCGCGGAUCAGCCACGCCGCGGUGAAUACGUUCCCGGGCCUUGUA